rnacentral:tRNA from 1 species
CCGCGCCCGGCCCGGCCUUGAAGGUUGGGCUGACCUGGCUCAGAUAGGUUGUGAAGAUAUUGGUGGUGCCGGAGCCGUCGGCGCGGU